CAUAUUUUACAUGACAACAUCAAUUAUGUCAGUUGUGACCAAAUUAUCUUUUGUUUUUAGUGACCAAAAAUGGCUAUUGUUGUGGUUCCGGUGUAACGGUUUUCGAAAUAUUACGGAAAUAAUAACCAGUAAGCUUGUGAAUCGCAAAAUAAAUUAAAUAUUGUACAAUGGUGAAGUGCGCAGUUGUUGCCUGCACCAACAAAACCCAAACAAAACUAGCGGGAAAUUCAUUUCACAAAUUUCCAAAAAAUCAUGA
rnacentral:lncRNA from 1 species